AGGAAAGAAAAGGGGGCGAUGAGGCGAAGCAACCGGUGGAGGAGCGGCGAGGCUAGACCGCCAGAGUCCUCCGGAAGGUUCGGCCUCCUCGCCGCCAUGAGUUGCGCCCGAAGAAAGAAGCAAACCAAAAUCCCCAAACUGAUCCAGAAAUAAAAGGAGUCCGGUGCCGCGUGGGCGCGUGGUGAUAGGAAGGCGGAGGAAUUUCAAGCAGGGAGUUUGCGUGUGGGGUGGGGUGUGACGGCGAGCUUCCGCUUUGGCUCUGUGCCUCUGUGGCGGCCGGCAGUUUCGGAGAUGGGGGCCGGCAUGAGCAGAGGCCGGCGGCGCGGCUUCGGCCUCAAGGCGUCGAGGGGGAUGCUGCCCCUGCUGGCGCUCCAGGUGCUGAUGGAGUACGGCCGCGCGGGGGCCUCCCGGCCGCCCGUGACCGCGGCGCUGCUCGCCGCCAACACGCUGAUCUACCUCCGGCCCGGCGCGCUCCACGAGAUCCUGCCCUCGCUUGCUCGAGUCUCCUUCAAUCCGCAACUCAUCAUCGAGUAUGGCGAUUGGAUGCGCUUCUUCCUGUCACCAUUCUACCAUUUGAGUGAAAGUCACCUCUUCUACAACAUGACGUCGCUCUUGUGGAAGGGCAUACAGCUUGAAACAUCAAUGGGUAGUGCUGAGUUUGCUUCCAUGGUUGCUGCAUUGCUUGCCCUGUCUCAGGGUAUGACGCUGCUCAUGUCAAAGGGCUUAAUCUUCCUUGGUGAUUAUACUGCAUAUUAUGAUCAAUAUGCUGUUGGGUUCUCUGGUGUGCUGUUUGCCAUGAAGGUCGUGCUGAACACCUGGUCGGACGAUUUUGUGUAUCUCCACGGAAUGGUUAUUCCAGCGAAAUAUGCUGCUUGGGCUGAGUUAAUCCUCAUCCAGGUUUUCAUUCCUGGGACAUCCUUUCUUGGCCAUCUUGGUGGGAUACUUGCUGGACUGGUUUAUCUUUGGCUGAAGCGCUCAUUCAACGGGCCGGAUCCGUUUACUCUUCUGGUGACAAGCAUUACCAAGGUCGUGACCUGGCCACUUAAAUUUGCUCAGAAACUUCUGCGAUCUGCCAGUUCACAAGGUCGCAUAACAGGUAGGGGCAGGGUUGGGCGCCGUGCAUCAGCAAGAGAGACCCCUCGAGGGUUAUGGAGAUGCUCAACCUGCACCUAUGACAACUCAAUUGCUACAGACAUCUGUGAGAUGUGCAGCACUGCCCGAGAGGACCGUUCUUUUUCACGGAGACAGAAUCACCAAGCUGGGGGUAGCGGUGAGCUCUCGGCUGAAGAGAUACGCCGUAGGAGGCUGCAAAGAUUUGACAGAUGAUGCAAGUCAUUGCUACCAGUGCUAAGAUUGCAUACUGGCAAUUCUGAAGCUAGAAAGUGUUGUCACAUUUGUUUCUUCUCAUGAUGAGGAGCAGUUUACAUAAUUGACUUUUUCCUCACCAUUUGAAGGAGGCUGGCUCCAUUUUAUAGGUUCUUCAAAGCCUUGAUAGUAUGUAGUUAUCGCCCACGUUUGUAUAAAUUACCUCAGGCGAUGUUGAAAUUAAAGUACUUGAGCAUAUGUCGCCACCUUCUGUUGUUAAUGUUACCAGUUGAAUAACUCCCAGCAGUAUGUGUUUUGGAUAGUUGCAUGGAUAGAGGAAAUUGGUUCUGAUUAAAGGGUUCAUACUGUGUGGUGUCGGGCAGAUGUUUUGCCUGAAUUCGCCUAAAGCUGGAUCACAAAUAGUCUGAUUGUUCAGGAUGAUUUACGUUAUGUGCUUCCACAAGUCAUCUACAUUAAAAUAUAAAGUGAUGCAACA